GACGAACGCUGGCGGCGUGCUUAACACAUGCAAGUCGAGCGGUAAGGCCCUUUCGGGGGUACACGAGCGGCGAACGGGUGAGUAACACGUGGGUGACCUGCCCUUAGCUCUGGGAUAAGCCUGGGAAACUGGGUCUAAUACCGGAUAUGACUCCAUGACGCAUGUUGUCGGGUGGAAAGCCUUGUGCGGCUAGGGAUGGGCCCGCGGCCUAUCAGCUUGUUGGUGGGGUGAGGCCUACCAAGGCGACGACGGGUAGCCGGCCUGAGAGGGCGACCGGCCACACUGGGACUGAGACACGGCCCAGACUCCUACGGGAGCAGCAGUGGGGAAUCUUGCGCAAUGGGCGAAAGCCUGACGCAGCGACGCCGCGUGAGGGAUGACGGCCUGGUUGUAAC
rnacentral:rRNA from 1 species